GGGACACUAUAAUCACCAGAACCACUACAGCUUAAUGUAGUGGUUUUGGUGCCUACAGCCUGUCUCUGUAGCCUUUUCAAUGUAAACGCUGCAUUUUUAGCUGCCUACUAAGACCUCUAGUGGUUGUCACUCAGACUGCCACUAGUGAGUCCUGUCUCAGUUCUCUGCAUGGACGCGCUGAAUGUUGCCCCUACAGAAUAUGCG